UCCCUGGUGGUCCAGUGGUUAGGACUUCGCGCUCCCAAUGCAGGGGGCUUGGGUUCGAUCCCUAAUCGGGGAA
rfam:TPA: Bos taurus chromosome 22, whole genome shotgun sequence.